GCGGCAAUUACAUGUAGAACAGUGGUUGCCAAUCAGAGAUAUAUAUUUACAAAUUUGAAAAAGCAGCAAAAGCAUAUGGAGUAUCAAUAUUGAUACGUUACUCUAGAGCUAGCUAGCUCAAAGUACAUGUACGCUGAUUUUGUUGAACGAGGAAUACUGCUUUCUCAACAGUUGCUAAGACAGGGCUAUGAAUCAUCAAAUUAAGGUCAUCACUCAAUUUUAUGGUUG
rnacentral:lncRNA from 1 species